ACUGGGUUGGCCUAGUGGUUAAGGCGUUGGACUUAAGUUCCAAUGGACAAGUGUCCGCGUGGGUUCGAACCCCACACCCAGUA
rnacentral:tRNA from 1 species